rnacentral:lncRNA from 1 species
GUGGAGAUAUGUAGAAUAAGUAGUUAUUUUACAGAAUGAAGAUACCUAGUAUAUAGUGUAAACAGGGAUAGAUAACUGCUGAAAAGGUGGUUCAGUAGGUAGAAUGGAUGAAUAGUGAGGAAAAGUAGUUAUCAUCCAUAGUAUAGGAGUUCGUAUCUCAGGGUAGUAUAAAGAAGAUGGAAGAGAUAAAAAAAAUGCCAAACUGUGAUAG